GAAAUGCGAUAAGUAAUGUGAAUUGCAGAAUUCAGUGAAUCAUCGAAUCUUUGAACGCACAUUGCGCCCGCCAGUAUUCUGGCGGGCAUGCCUGUCCGAGCGUCAUUUCAACCAUCAAGCCCCCGGGCUUGUGUUGGGGACCUGCGGCUGCCCGCAGGCCCUGAAAGCCAGUGGCGGGCUCGCUGUCACACCGAGCGUAGUAGCAAUCACCUCGCUCAGGGCGUGCUGCGGGUUCCGGCCGUUAAACAGCCUUACAAAACCCAAGGUUGACCUCGGAUCAGGUAGGAAGACCCGCUGAACUUAAGC
rnacentral:misc_RNA from 1 species